AGUGACUGGUACUUAGUACAAAAUGAGGGAAAAUAAGGAAAGAAGGAAAUAUAAAACAGAUAAUAUGUUGGUUUUGAAGUGAUUUUAGCUCCUGGCUGACUGCAGGCACAAGAAACUACCAGGAACAGACAUUCAUUAAAGGAGCGUUAUGAACCAUCAGUGGGAGCGACCAUUAUUUAGCCGGGGAGGCGACUGUGGGUCCUCACACUUUCCUCGGUGUCUGCUUUAUGUCCUCUGCAGCAGAAAAACUGAAAGGCUGGUUCUCGUCUCCCAGAGUUUAUUGAAAUCAUGUGAAUGCCAUUUGCGCUUAAUCCUUCUGGGUGUGCCAUAAAGAGAAGAGAGUCGGCAGCUCCUGAAGAGAGAUGAGAGGACCUCAGGGGAUUCACUUUGCUUUGCCUCAUCUGCUGGGAAAGAGAGGAAUAGAGAGAGAGAGAG